CUUAUUUAUUUUUAUUCCCAUUUUACAGAUGAUGAAGCAAGACACAGAGAGGCCAUUUGUCCCAAAUCCAGUGAAGAAGGAGAACUGGGGUUUGACCUGGGGCUUCUGAUGCCUAAUCUGUGUUACUCGAGGCCAUGUGCAUUUGUCCUUGUGCCACGGGGCUGGGACCUGCCUGCCUCUGCCGACACCGAGUGGUUAUACAUUGUGCCAGGACCAGCACUGGCAGGAACCCCGCUGGGUAGUCAGGGCCGCCGGGCUUCCUCUCGACGUUUCCCUACUGGUGGAGCCUCCAGCCUCCCCUCCACCUGCCCUGUUCCCUCUAACUGAACUGUUCCCAGCGCCUGGGGAAUAGGGACCGCCCCUGAGCACGGCCACAGCCCGGCCACUGGAACCCCACCCAGGCCCCCGAGCAUGGGAGAGAUCAGUUUGUAGACCUCCUUUGGGUUCCCCAGGUCUUUCCUUUUGCUAGGUGGCUCUGAGGUCAACAUCAUGGUGAGUCCCAGCAGGUACACCCCCGAGUCCUAAGACUGGAGUCUGAGAGGGAAGAUCGUGGUAACCAGAGUCAUUGUGAUGAAUGCACGGUUACAAAUGGAGGUAAGGUAUCUGAGGGAAUGAAAGAGUUUUGGGAGAGUGAGGAGUGAAGAAAACUUGACUUGGGAGUCAGGAAGCCUCCUCAAGAAGGUGAUGCUUGAGCUGUGAUCUGAGAGGCAGUGGGAGUCAGCUAGUGGCAGGAGGAAGACAGAGCUCCCAGGCACACUGAAGGGCAAGUGCAAAGGCCCUGGGGAAGAGACAUUUUGGUUAGGUGAGAAUGCAGAGGGACAGGGACGUGUGAGUUGAGGCUAGGGACAGGCAGGGGCUGGUGUCAAGAGUCCCAAUGUUACUUUAGUAAAGGCCCAUUUAAAAGGAAAUGGGGAGCCACUAGAAAGCUCUAAUUUGGGAGGUGACAAUGAGGAGUUCAUACAAUUGGGUUUAUAUUUUUAAAGGAUUCCCAAGGCUGUUGACUGGAUGGGAAGGGUCUUAGUUUCAAGAGAUAAGUCAGAGGCUAUGGACUUGGGAGAGGUGAGGGUGCACCAUGCUUGAGACCAAGGUGGAGGGGGGGGUGAUGGAGAUGGAUCUGUGAGCUCUUCCUAGGUAAACCCCGUCCCAGGUUUAUGAUAGACACUGGCAAUACAGACGUGGGUACAGCGUGAAACCCUCUUCCAAGGGAAGAAAGAGGGAGCUACACCAUGACAGAGGCGUGUGACCAACUCAGCUGGCUGUGUUGGAGGAGGGGAAGUGGCCGCAGCUUUGGCCUGUACCAUACCCACAGCCUGGCGAUGGGACUUCCUGCUCUUCCCAUCAAGAGACCAAGGCCACGUCCCUACCCUUCCCAUCUGGGCUGGUCUCUUUUGUCAGUAAACCUGGAGAAGUGAUGGCGCGUCAGUGUUGAGCCUGGGCCUUCUGUGCUUCCACCAUUUCUAGGAGAACAAACCCAGGCAAAUCUCCCUAACAACAAGACAGAUGGCCCAAUUACCUCUGUCACACUGGCUGAUGGAAGGACAACUACCAGAUAUGCAACCAAACAUCUUAGAACAGCGAUCCCCAGGUAUGUGGCCAGAGGAGCUCAGGAGCCCGAGCCAGUUCAACCAAGAUCAGCCGAGCCUGCCCCAGAGGAGCAGAGCGGUUCAUCCAGCAAUAGCCAACACUUACUGCUUAAAGCAAGCAUUGGCCAACAGCGGCCUGUUGGCCGCCUGUUUUUAUUUUACCUAAAGUUUUAUUAAAAUGCAGCCAUAACAUUGAUUGGUGUAUCAUCUACAGCUUCUUCAGAGUUACCGAGUCAGAGCUUGUAUUGCAACAGAGACCACAUGAUAUGCAGAGCCUUGAAUGUUAC
rnacentral:lncRNA from 1 species